AUGGCAACGGCGAGGGCGCGAGCACGAGCCCGCGCCUCCCCCGGCGCGCGGCGCUCAGGGCGGAGGCCGAGCCCGGGCCCGCCGCGGCCCCGCCCGCGGGCACGCGCGUCCCCCUCCCCCCGCCGCCCCUCGCCGCUUCCCCCGCCGCGGGGGCCGCGCCCCGCCCCUCAGCCCCGGCCGCUGUCACUCCGCCGGCGCGGGGCGAGCCGCCCGGCCCGGAGCCGUCGCCGGGGCUGCGGCUCGAGUGGGCGUUCCCCGGACCCCCUCGUUUCCUUCCCUCCCUGUGCCGCCUUUGUGUUUCCCCCCCCCCCCGGCCCGAGCUUCGCGCGAGUCGCCGAGUCGCAACGCGCUCGCCGCGGCGCCCGGAGCGGAGGGGGCAGAUCCCGCCGGGGUCGGGUGCCCCGGGCCCCGCGGCCUGCGGCGUGCGGACGCCGAGGGGGAGGAGGAGGGGUGUUGGAACGCUGCACGCUGCCCGUGCCGGAAACGCUUCUUGAUUUUUUCACCGAGGUGCUGCAAGCCCGCAUUCGCUCGGCUGCUCCGUCCCGCGCGCCGUGCCCUCAGCCCUCACCGCCUCCCCUCGGGCUGCGCGACGAGCCGUGCCGCGCGCUGCCGGCAGUAACACCGCGCUCCGGCCGCGGCUCGGAAGGUGGCCGUGCGGGGAGCGGCACGGGGUGCGAGGCCGGCAGGCCGCGGGGCUGUGCGGAGGGCCGCCCCGUGUGCGGGGGGUCGGGAGGUUUCCCCUUAGACACCCGCACUGAAGCCGUCACGGAGCAGAAGCAUCUCCGCUGGAAGAGGGAGAUCCCCUCUCGUGGACUGCCUCCGGGCUCUCGUAUUUACGGAGAUUCCAGCCAGCACUCCACCCUAUUCCUUCUCGGUGCGAGAUCUGACACGGAGCCUCGCACGGCGGUCACGUGGGCGAGUGCCGCAUCUCAGCUGCGGAGCGGGGACUGGAGGAGAACGGCACCGCGGCUCGCCCCGCCGCCCCGGCCUGGCUCUCGGCCGUGUGUUUCACCGGUCACGCGAACGACCGAAAACAGAAGCAAGAUAUCAGCAUGUUCAAUGGCUGCAUUCUCCUGA
rnacentral:lncRNA from 1 species